rnacentral:rRNA from 1 species
AUGCAUGGCCUUCCUCCAAGCUUAGCUGCCUCCCGAAGCUCAACAUGUCAUGCUGCUUCAACAAAUCGUCCCAGCCUCCGUUCAAAGUUCACUUUGCUACUGCUAAUGGGAAGCAUUCAGCCCUCCUGCACUCGCAUGGUGUUGUUUGCGCUGGACGCGUGCAUCGUCAACGACACCGGAGGAGUCUGCAGCGCCGGCCCUGCGGGCGCCGGCUCUCCGAAGCACUGUCCCAUCGAGUGGCGCUAUCUUCCGUGGGUGCAUGCCAUGCCGCAAGGUGGACCACGCCGUGUGCAUCGCAUGGCGGAGAAGCGCAUUGCAGCUAAUCUACGGCGCCACGAGGAGCUAUUGGCUGCUGUAGCAGUGUCACGCUAG